AUUGAACGCUGGCGGCAGGCCUAACACAUGCAAGUCGAACGAGUGGCGGACGGGUGAGUAAUGUCUGGGACACUGCCUGAUGGAGGGGGAUAACUACUGGAAACGGUAGCUAAUACCGCAUACCAUCAGAUGUGCCCAGAUGGGAUUAGCUAGUGGGUGGGGUAACGGCUCACCAAGGCGACGCUCCCUAGCUGGUCUGAGAGGAUUACCAGCAAAACUGGAACUUGGACACGUUCCAGACGCUGACGGGAGGCAGCAGUGGGGAAGAUUGCACAAUGGGCGCAAGCCUGAUGCAGCCAUGCCGCGUGUAUGAAGAAGGCCUUCGGGGUGUAAAGGACUUUCAGCGGGGAGGCGUUACCCGCAGAAGAAGCACCGGCUAACUCCGUGCCAGCAGCCGCGGUAAUAC
rnacentral:rRNA from 1 species